UUGGUGGAGAAGAUUCAAUCUUCCUCUUCACCUUUCUCCAUCACAGGUCAGUGAAAAAAAAAAAUGGAGGUCUUUGCAGGACCUCACCAGGAAACCACUCUCGCGGCUAAGAGAUCUAACACGAACACGAUCAGUAGCUGUGCGCGAUCUUCACGAGGAAGCAACUCGAGGAGCUGGUAUGGCGGCGCAUGAAGCCUCUGCGACUGUUGUCCCAGCUUCGUCUCGACGUCGCCGAACCCGAAGAUAGGAUGGAAAGUGUAGUUCAUGUCUACAAAGCUACAUAGCACCUUUGCUCUAAAAAUGGUUCGUGAUGAUGGCCAACCGUUCCUUGGCUUCUGGAUGGAAUACCUUUUAUUAUUAAUGGGUUCAUCUAAGGUUGAUGUGGAAGUCGAGCUAAAAGCUAAGAGGCAACUAGCAAUUGGGCAGGAGAAGACUACGACAGUGUUGCAGCCAAGUUAGUGGGUGAAGGGUAGGUGGUUGAAUUUACCAAACGGGGUUAAUGGUCUCCAUUUCUACAAUUAAACGUUUUGCUCGUCUAACAAUGGAGCUGAUCACGACCAUUCAUUCUGUGUUUCCUUGUCAAACUUCUGAAUAAAUCAAUGAAUUUUUUUUUAAAUCCCAAACAA